rnacentral:lncRNA from 1 species
AUGUUAUAAAACAGCUCCACCCCUAUCUUCCUUCGCUGACUCUCUUUUCGGAUUCAGCCUGCCUGCACCCAGGUGAUUAAAAAGCUCUAUUUCUCACACAAAGACUGUUUGGUGGUCUCUUCACAUGGACGCGAAUGAAAUUUUGGUGCCGUGACUCAGAUCGGGGGACCUCGCUUGGGAGAUCAAUCCCCUGUCCUCCUGCUCUUUGCUCCGUGAGAAAGAUCCACCUACAACCUCGGGUCCUCAGACCAACCAGCCCAAGGAACAUUUCACCAAUUUUAAAUCAGAUCUUCUCGGCUCAGCAGAUGAAGACUGACACUUCCCGAUUGCCUCGGAAGCCUACAGGACCAUCACAGAUGCUCUGGGUAAUUAUCACAGUGGAGGGU